rnacentral:rRNA from 1 species
UACGGAGGGUGCGAGCGUUGUUCGGAAUUACUGGGCGUAAAGGGCUUGUAGGUGGCCAACUAAGUCCGACGUGAAAUCCCUAGGCUUAACCUAGGAACUGCGUCGGAUACUGGAUGGCUUGAAUCCGGGAGAGGGAUGCGGAAUUCCAGGUGUAGCGGUGAAAUGCGUAGAUAUCUGGAGGAACACCGGUGGCGAAGGCGGCAUCCUGGACCGGUAUUGACACUGAAAAGCGAAAGCCAGGGGAGCAAACGGG